UGAGGAAUAUUGCACAAUGGGCGAAAGCCUGAUGCAGCAACGCCGCGUGGGGGACGAAGGCCUUCGGGUCGUAAACCUCUUUUCUGGGGAAAGAGACAGGACGGUACCUCAGGAAUAAGUCUCGGCUAACUACGUGCCAGCAGCCGCGGUAAAACGUAGGAGGCGAGCGUUAUCCGGAUUUACUGGGCGUAAAGCGCACGUAGGCGGUUCCGUUAGUCGGACGUGAAAGCUCCUGGCUUAACUGGGAGAGGCCGUUCGAUACUGCGGGACUUGAGGUUGGAAGAGGGGUGUGGAAUUCCCGGUGUAGUGGUGGAAUGCGUAGAUAUCGGGAGGAACACCUGUGGCGAAAGCGGCACCCUGGUCCACACCUGACGUUGAGGGGCGAAAGCGUGGGUAGCAAACAG
rnacentral:rRNA from 1 species